AGGCCACUUCCCAGGUCGACGACCACUCCGGGGCACCUCAGGAAGCGAACCAGAGACUAUCCCCUCCGCCAGCAUCCUAGAAGGCCAAGAAAGAGCCGAGCUGAGCGCCUCCUUAAAGCUGCGCGGACUGCUCUCAAUCCCUCCCCCUGGAGCUCCGACCGGUAGUCCCCUGCAUCAGUCUUGCCCAGCUCCUCCUUUCCUCCUCAGUCUUCGGGAGACCCACCCUGGCCACCCUACAGAGGAGGUGCCCUUACCUGUGCCCGGGUAGGGUGAGGGGUUACAGGCCUGUCCUGUGUGAAUCAAUGUCUUCAGUUGCCCUGAAGUAGAACGUAUCUUGUUGACCUUGAACUUCAGCAUUGAAGGACCCCUCUCCUGAGCUCUCAGCUGACCCUCAGCAUCACCUCUGGAGAAGCCUAGUAGGAUGUGAGCAUCGUGAACUCUUCCUUCCAUUGCUCACAGAUGUGGCUGCUGCUUGCAUACCCAGAACCAUCCUUAACAUGUAGGAGGCAUUGGACGUCACUGAUUAAGGAGUAGCAUAGGUAAGCCAGGCUUAUUCACAGGAGUGACUCAUGCCCUGGGACACAAGGUCUUGUCUAGUGUCACAACCCCUUCAGGCAACUGGAUCCUUGUCUUUGGGUAUAAAUGCUUCAGGAGAAACAACAAUGAUAACCAACUGCAGACUUGACAGAAUAAUGACGGCAUACGGAUCGGGGAAGUGGCUCAGUUGGAUGGUUCUUGACAAGCAAGCAUGAGAAGCUGAGUUUGGAUCCCAACACCCACAGAAAAACUAGGCGCCACAGCAUACAUGUAUAACCCCUGCACUGGGGCAAGGGGUGAAGCACAGGGAAAGAAGGGUCCCUGGAAUGCAUUGGCCAUGCAGGCAGGCCAAGCUGGUAAGAUUCAGGAGUAGUGAGCCUAUUGGUUACUUCUCUGUUUCUGUGACCAAAACACCAUAACUCAAAGAAGGAAGAGUUUAUUUAGGGGCUACUGUCCCAGAGGAGGAGAAAUGGUAUCAGAAGACCAAAACAGGAAGCUAAGAAAUCACAUCUUCAACUCUAAACACAAAGUAGAAAGCAAAAGUGUAUAGAUGAAGCUAUGAACCCUCAAAACUGUCCCCAUUGACAUAUUUCUUCCAACAAGGCUGUUCUACCCCACUAACCAUCACUACAACCAAGUAUUC
rnacentral:lncRNA from 1 species